GACGAACGCUGGCGGCGUGCCUAAUACAUGCAAGUAGAACGCUGAAGGAGGAGCUUGCUCUUCUGGAUGAGUUGCGAACGGGUGAGUAACACGUAGGUAACCUGCCUGGUAGCGGGGGAUAACUAUUGGAAACGAUAGCUAAUACCGCAUAACAGUAGAUGUUGCAUGACAUUUGCUUAAAAGGUGCAAUUGCAUCACUACCAGAUGGACCUGCGUUGUAUUAGCUAGUUGGUGGGGUAACGGCUCACCAAGGCGACGAUACAUAGCCGACCUGAGAGGGUGAUCGGCCACACUGGGACUGAGACACGGCCCAGACUCCUACGGGAGGCAGCAGUAGGGAAUCUUCGGCAAUAGACGGAAGUCUGACCGAGCAACGCCGCGUGAGUGAAGAAGGUUUUCGGAUCGUAAAGCUCUGUUGUAAGAGAAGAACGAGUGUGAGAGUGGAAAGUUCACACUGUGACGGUAUCUUACCAGAAAGGGACGGCUAACUACGUG
rnacentral:rRNA from 1 species